rnacentral:rRNA from 1 species
UUAGAGUUUGAUCCUGGCUCAGGGCGAACGCUGGCGGCGUGCCUUAGACAUGCAAGUCGAGCGGUAGGCGUCCUUCGGGGCGCCGAGAGCGGCGAACGGCGGAGUAACACGUGGGUAACCUGCCCCGAAGACUGGGAUAACCCGGGGAAACUCGGGCUAAUACCGGAUGUGGAUGCCUUGGCUUCGGCGAAGGCAUCUAAACGGGUUUCCGCUUCGGGAUGGGCCCGCGGCCUAUCAGGUUGUUGGUGAGGUAACGGCUCACCAAGCCGACGACGGGUAGCCGGUCUGAGAGGAUGAUCGGCCCGAGGGGCACUGAGACACGGCCCACACCCCUACGGGGGGCAGCAGUGGGGAAUCGUGGGCAAUGGGCGAAAGCCUGACCCCGCGACGCCGCGUGGAGGAAGAAGCCCUUCGGGGUGUAAACUCCUGUCGGGGGGGACGAUGUGCCUUGGGAUGAAUAAUUCCAGGGCAUGACGGUACCCCCAGAGGAAGGGACGGCUAACUACGUGCCAGCAGCCGCGGUAAUACGUAGGUCCCGAGCGUUGCGCGAAUUCACUGGGCGUAAAGCGUCCGCAGCCGGACGGGUAAGCGGUGCGUCAAAGCCCACCGCUCAACGGUGGAACGGCGUACCGAACUGCCUGUCUUGAGGCACGCUUAG